rnacentral:rRNA from 1 species
AUUGAACGCUGGCGGAAUGCUUUACACAUGCAAGUCGAACGGCAGCACGGACUUCGGUCUGGUGGCGAGUGGCGAACGGGUGAGUAAUGUAUCGGAACGUGCCCAGUCGUGGGGGAUAACGUAGUGAAAUUUACGCUAAUACCGCAUACGAUCUAUGGAUGAAAGCGGGGGAUCGCAAGACCUCGCGCGAUUGGAGCGGCCGAUACCAGAUUAGGUAGUUGGUGGGGUAAAGGCCCACCAAGCCAACGAUCUGUAGCUGGUCUGAGAGGACGACCAGCCACACGGGAACUGAGACACGGUCCAGACUCCGACGGGAGGCAGCAGUGGGGAAUUUUGGACAAUGGGCGAAAGCCUGAUCCAGCCAUUCCGCGGGCAGGAUGAAGGCCCUCGGGUUGUAAACUGCUUUUGUACAGAACGAAAAGGUUUCUACUAAUACUAGGAGCUCAUGACGGUACUGUAAGAAUAAGCACCGGCUAACUACGUGCCAGCCGCCGCGGUAA